UACGUAGGUGGCAAGCGUUGUCCGGAAUUAUUGGGCGUAAAGCGCGCGCAGGCGGCUUCUUAAGUCUGAUGUGAAAUCUCGGGGCUCAACCCCGAGCGGCCAUUGGAAACUGGGAAGCUUGAGUACAGAAGAGGAGAGUGGAAUUCCACGUGUAGCGGUGAAAUGCGUAGAUAUGUGGAGGAACACCAGUGGCGAAGGCGACUCUCUGGUCUGUAACUGACGCUGAGGCGCGAAAGCUAGGGGAGCAAACGGG
rnacentral:rRNA from 1 species